rnacentral:rRNA from 1 species
UGGCGGACGGGUGAGUAAUGUCUGGGAAACUGCCCGAUGGAGGGGGAUAACUACUGGAAACGGUAGCUAAUACCGCAUAACGUCGCAAGACCAAAGAGGGGGACCUUCGGGCCUCGCGCCAUCAGAUGAACCCAUAUGGGAUUAGCUUGUAGGUAAGGUAACGGCUUACCUAGGCGACGAUCCCUAGCUGGUCUGAGAGGAUGACCAGCCACACUGGAACUGAGACACGGUCCAG